AUGAUCUAUACAAGAUCUCUUUAAAAUCUUACAAAAUCUCUCCAAAAUCUCUCCAAAAUCUUGUAGAGAUUCUUGUCUCAAAAAUGAAAGCCACAAGAUCUUUAUAAGAUUUCCUCAACAUCCUUAUAAAAGGGUCCAUACCCCCUCUUGAUCCUCAUUUUCUUGUGUAGACAACACUCUCCUCUCCCUCUCGAAAUCAUCUGCACACACACACACAUAACACCUCACUUUCCCUUAGAACACUCAUACAACACCCCAAAACCCUUCCCCUCUUCCUCUCGUUCGUCUGACCCGACCACCGGAGCAUCACCGGUAGGUCACCAGCACUCUGCAUCUCUGUCUCUCUCGUGAACCUUGCCAGCGACCAAAGCCGGAUUAUCGGUCGGGAAACCAGCGUGGAUUCCGACAAUCCCACAUCGCCUCUGACCCCCUUUUCGAUUUACAAAACGGAUCACCACCACCUCCGUCCGGUGGUGGUGCGGCGGCUACGAAACAGAAGAGAGAGAGACCGAGAAGAGAGAGAAAUCGGAGGCGAAGGAGUGACGGCGGUAGAUUUUCAGGCGACAAGGGCGACCUGUUGAAGUCUGACAGUGGCAUUUUAUUCCGACGAGUUUUUCCGGGUCAGACGCAGGUGCUUUGUUUCAGGCUCGGUCAACAGCCGUCAACAAGGUGUUCAGGUCAAACAAAGUCAAACCAGUCAACACGUCAGGUUGACUAGUCAAAGACGGUCAACGGGUCGAGUCUCGAGCUUCGGGUCAACAACAGGUUAAGCGUGGUCAACAGUCAAUGGGUCGGUUUCAGAUUCGGUUCGAUCGACAAGUCAAUAGGUAGCUCGGUAUAGUUUUGGUCAGAAUUGAGGUUCAGUUCGAUGCUCGGGUCAACUGUUAGUCAACUCGGUCCAACCCGGUCAAUUCAGUCAAUCGUCUCGACGUGAAAGAUUUGGUAAAGAAUUUAGCGUCGCGAUUAAUAUUUACAUUGUUUUUACAUAGUUUUUAUUUAUUUCGUGAAAACGAGCUCGAACCGAACGAUUAGAAUAUAGUUUACGUUUCGAUAUAUUUGACAAAUUACAUAUAUUAUGAUUGAAUAUUGUU
rnacentral:lncRNA from 1 species